GAAAUAAAAAAUGCAUCUGCUCAUGCAUUUAUCACUUAGGAUGUGGGUGUGUCUGAGAUUCGGCUCUCUCCUUCCACCACGUUGAGUCCCGAGGACUGAACUCGGGUCGUCAGGCUUGGUGGCAAGCUCCUUUACCCACUGAGUCAUUUUGAUGGCCCCAGGAACUGGAAUUUCAAGGCUUGGGCAUGGCCAGCACAACACACCCACCGUGGGAAUCCUGAGAGAGUUCUAGUUGAAGCAGCCCUGCAGGCAUCUGCUGAGUGCUGAUCCCUACAAAGGCUCAAGGACUUCAGACAUGUUUGGGCACGGUUGCUGCCCCAGGAAGUCUCAUUCUUGAUGACCUUUAGUCUUCAGGACAUCUCUCCACUGCCAAACCCAGGGUCCAAUCCCUGUGAGUUCGCUGUAGGACCCAGAGAAUACAUCCCACUUCUGUGACAGACAGACUGCCCCGCUUGACUUACCCCCUGCAAAUGUGAGAGAGAACACUUAACCAGAAUCACGGUCACUACUCACCAUGCUCAGUCUCCCAAACAGCAAUUCAGGACGGCUGCUGAUAUCAACAGCCGGCCAGGAAAGUCAACUUUGCAUAAGGCUGCAGCCCUCCAAGGGGCCCUCCGAGUGGUAGACGGGGUUCCAUAGACUGCAGGGGGAAAGGCUACGGGGCUGGGGAAUGCAGUCCCUUUCCACAGCCCCUCUAUGCGACUUGCCAGGGCUAGCUUCUGUUGGACAAACCGGUUCUCGUUUCCAGCUUGCCUCCCAUGAGAGAGUCCAUGUCCCAGUAUCUUUUACUUAGCUCCAGAUGAGUCAGGAUCACAUACACGUUUAGAUUACAACUGGAAGAGUAACCAGCAUGGGAACAGUUAAUUGGGUUGCUUUGUAAGCUGCCUGUCAGCAUGCCUCACCAAGUGUUUUCCUCCUUCAUGUUUGCUGUCUCCUGGAGCCCAGGGGAGCAGGUGACUUCCAUGAACAAAGACUUCCCGGUACCCGGAGAGCCCUUCGUGGACGGAGCCCGAGAAAGCUCAGCCAUCAGCAGGCCGAGGUCACUGGCCUGCUCCAGGAAGCCGCCUGUUGGUCCUCUGUGUCCCUGUGCAACCUGCCCUCGCCUGUUCUGUGUUUAGUCUUGCUGUUUUCCCGGUGAGGAAGCUGGAGCUCAGAAGUUGAGACGACCACCACGCAGGCAUCCCACUGUGAACAGCACGGUAUCUGGGGGUUCUGAAGGCCAGCUCCCUGACUGGUGAUCAGCGGAGGCUGAGAAUGCGGUUGCUGUGCGGACUGUAAGAACCAGAGGGGAGCAGCUGGCACCAGCGCUGACUCACAGCAGGUGUAAUACGGGGCCGGCCAUGAAGGCUUAGAUGAAGGAUGGUGUCUUAGGUUUCUAUCACUGUGAAGAGACACCAUGACGACGACAACUCCUUUGAAGAAAAACAUUUAGGGCUGGAGAGAUGGCUCAGAGGGCUGGUUGUUUUUCCAGGGGUCCUGAGCUCAAUUCCCAGCAACC